rnacentral:rRNA from 1 species
UAAUAUGGAGGGAGCUAGCGUUGUUCGGAAUUACUGGGCGUAAAGCGCGCGUAGGCGGCUUUGUAAGUUAGAGGUGAGAGCCCGGGGCUCAACUUCGGAAUUGCCUUUAAGACUGCAUCGCUAGAACGUCGGAGAGGUAUGUGGAAUUCCGAGUGUAGAGGUGAAAUUCGUAGAUAUUCGGAAGAACACCAGUGGCGAAGGCGACAUACUGGACGACUGUUGACGCUGAGGUGCGAAAGCGUGGGGAGCAAACA